rnacentral:rRNA from 1 species
AUUGAACGCUGGCGGCAGGCCUAACACAUGCAAGUCGAGCGGGAACUUCGGUUCUAGCGGCGGACGGGUGAGUAAUGCGUAGGAAGCUACCCGACAGAGGGGGAUACCAGUUGGAAACGACUGUUAAUACCGCAUAAUGUCUACGGACCAAAGUGUGGGACCUUCGGGCCACAUGCUGUCGGAUGCGCCUACGUGGGAUUAGGCAGUUGGUGAGGUAAUGGCUCUCCAAGGCGACGAGCCCUAGCUGGUUUGAGAGGAUGAGCAGCCACACUGGAACUGAGACACGGUCCAGACUCCUACGGGAGGCAGCAGUGGUGAAUAUUGGGCAAUGGGCGAAUGCCUGAUCCAGCCAUGCCGCGUGUGUGAAGAAGGCCUUCGGGUUGUAAAGCACUUUCAGUAGGGAGGAAGAGUUGAGUGUUAAUAGUACUCAGCUUUGACGUUACCUACAGAAGAAGCACCGGCUAACUCUGUGCCAGCAGCCGCGGUAACAC